CCCGCUAUUCCGUUAGCGGUAGCCUAGUGCCACCUGCAUCAGAAGCAAUGACGGUGUUGGGAAGCUGGCAUGACAAAGUAGCCCUCCACGUAAGUGGUAAAGCCGAAGCCGUGAGGCAGAAGCGAAUCUGCGAGCAUCAAUGCGGUUAGGG
rnacentral:ncRNA from 1 species